UGGGGAAUAUUGGACAAUGGGCGCAAGCCUGAUCCAGCCAUGCCGCGUGAGUGAUGAAGGCCUUAGGGUUGUAAAGCUCUUUCGCCGGUGAAGAUAAUGACGGUAACCGGAGAAGAAGCCCCGGCUAACUUCGUGCCAGCAGCCGCGGUAAUACGAAGGGGGCUAGCGUUGCUCGGAAUCACUGGGCGUAAAGCGCACGUAGGCGGAUCGUUAAGUCAGGGGUGAAAUCCUGGGGCUCAACCUCAGAACUGCCCUUGAUACUGGCGAUCUCGAGUUCGAGAGAGGUUGGUGGAACUCCGAGUGUAGAGGUGAAAUUCGUAGAUAUUCGGAAGAACACCAGUGGCGAAGGCGGCCAACUGGCUCGAUACUGACGCUGAGGUGCGAAAGCGUGGGGAGCAAA
rnacentral:rRNA from 1 species